AAAAAGGCAAAGAGAUCCUGCAUACAUCAAUUUUACAAACAACUACUAAAAUAACGUGAGGUAUAAGUUACUUGAUGAGAAUAUCCACAUAUGUGCAAUUAAUACAUUCACAUCACAUCCAUCUUUCCAAUUGAGGCAGCAUGGAGCCAUGAAUGAAAAUUAACAUCAAGAAUCAAUUUAGCUCAUUUUCUUAUAUCUAAGUGAAGAUCCCAUACAGAAGACUAUCAUAUAGUUCUAAU
rnacentral:misc_RNA from 1 species